GGAUGAUGUGGAUGUGACUGGUUAUAUAAAAGUAUAGGGCACAGUUGGAAUGAGCCAGAUGGGAUGAUGGCUGUCAUUUUAAAGACUAACGCGCUUCUUGUCUGCCUCCGGAAAUCUCGCCUCUGCAUGACCUUGUGAACUCGCCUGCCGCGUGACCUCGAAAUUUCCCUCUAACGGCUCCCCGAACACCCCUCCACAUCCUUGUGCUCAUUUGUACAGGCUAUUACCCAAGCAGGAAGUGACAUCAACGGGUCCAAACUAAAAAUAUGUCGCAGGACGGGCUGUCUAGGAUGUCCAGGACCGGUGUUUGUGCAGGAGGAUGGCUCGCACCGGCUCCACAAAGUGAUGCUCACUGAAGGAUGCAGGAGAGCGCCACACAGGCGAGACAGACAGACGCACUGGAGGCUGAGCUCUCUAUCAUGGCUGUCUGCAGGAUGUGGUGCUGUCUGCUAUCCAGUUAUGGCUGAGACACUGAUUGUCUCCCUGCGGCACAGCUACAAGUAGCAUCGACCCAGCCCUCUAUAACACUGGUCCUCUUGUUCCUCCGUCUCAUCUAUCUCUAUCCCUGCAGCUCCUGGCUAUCUUCACCCUCUAUGGCUCCUUCAUGAUGGCCCCCUAAUCUCUGCCAGUGUGGUUCCAUGUAUGCAUUGCAAGGCGGCUGUGUAAUCAAGCCUGUGAACUCAACAUCUGAAGGAAGGAUUCUGUUUCUGAUCACAUCCCCAUUGAAGUGCAUCCACUCGCUGAACAUGGAUGUGUUGACGCACUCGAGCUUGCAGUCCUUGAAUAUACCACGUCCGAGGGGUCAUGAAUAAUGCCAAGGAGCCUGGGAGGGAGAAAAGAGAGACACCACUCCCUCUCUCCAGCUUAUCACCGCGCAGCUGCACUCAGCCUGCACAGUGAGGCCGCGGAGCCAUUAAUGAGUCCCAGCACUGAUAAUGAAGCCACAGAGGUGGUCCGAGCCAGUGUGGCACAGGAGCUGCAGCACAGGAGGAAGGUAGAUUAGGAUAAUUACCUGGCCACGGGGGAAUGAUGAGAAAGAUGUCUCACUUCUGCAGGCCCUGAUCGACGACGGAGCAAGUACGAUAUAAUGAGGCGUCCUCCACUUCCGCCCCGCACGUAUGUAUGUGUUUAUUUGUUGUUUAUGUAGCUGUGCUUUAGGUCUCACACAUACUGUACAUAAGUCCUAAACAUCCACACUCACAGAGACUUUGAAGAGCCUAUGAGGUCAGGUUUUAAAUUAUGGUCUGCACCCACACCAAGCGUUCUCUCCCCACUCCUGUAAAUCCAUUUUCCACACAAUGCAUUUCAAAUCAAAGCAGCGUCACCAUAACAUGCCUUAGGAAACAUUAAGCCAUAGUGCAGUACUUUCAUGUAUGAUAGCAUAGCCCCUGUAUGCUUUGAUGUGCUCACUUUUUUUUUAAUGCUUUAUUAAUAAUAACACACUGGCUCCUUCUCACACCAACACCAGCUUCUGGUGCUCCUUUUCUCUCCUCCUGAACUACAUCCCUCACUCCUUCCAUGCCUCAGCUCCUUCAUCCCUCCCCAGCCCCUGAGCCUUGUCUCGGGAUUGGCCUGUUUGUGUUUGGGAGGGGGAUUAGAGGGAAUGACAUGGGUCUCAGAGAUGAAGAGAGUGACAAAGACCUAUCAGAGGGCAGAGAGUGCGGAGCGCUGCAUCACCAUUGGUUGCUGUGGAAAUCAGACACGUCUUCAUUUCUUCCAGCCAUCCUCUCCAAAGUGCCCAGCUUUCAUUUCCACGCCUGGGGAGGGAAGCAGGGAGAGGAAAGAGAGAGGAUGGAGAGGGGGGGGGGGGGGCAGGAUUAGAGUUUCUGUUUGUGCAUUUAAGUGCGUGCGCGAGUGUGUGUUUGCUUGCAUGUUGUGUGCAGUAAACAUCGUAGAGAUACAGAGGGAUGAGCGCGUAGACACUGAUAGCACUCACCUCCUCCAAAUCUGGCCAAAAUACAAAUGCUGUAACAGUCUAGUGUUCUAGCUGAACACGUUCUCAUGAAUGGGAUGCCUGAUUCAUAGACAUGUAAGACCUACUUAGGAUACAAAUGUCUCACUGAUUUCCCUCAUUAUUUCAGCUUUAUCCACGGAUAUUGUGCAUUAGUGUUACAGGCAGAGGUACCCCCAAAGCAAACAAUGGCUGCUCAGUAUUUGCUGAUGUUUUCUUUCUGACAAUUUCAAAGCAAUGUCUGCAAUUUACUGAAUCGCUUAGCAGCCUCCCCACAUUCACAUGCGUGUGCAGAUGUGCACAAACAUCUGCUGAAUUAAUUUCCUGCUUUUGUGUUUUUCCUUUUUGUCCAUGCUCCUUUUUGAUGUUUAUUUCCUCUUUCUGUUAUGUAGCAUCAUUCAAUCUCGAUUUCUCGUGUUACGAUAAUUUCAGCCAGCGAGUCAUUUAAAUGCAAUCUGUGGAUGUAUUCUGUAAAAAAAUAAAUAUAUCAAUAUACUAAAGUAACUCAUUUCCUUUUCUUUCAGACUGCGCUGUGUGCAGCUACAUUUCCAAAAGCUCUGCAUUGACCUGCGUGUAUUUAAUUUGUCACAUACCAUACUUGCAUGUAUGCACACUCACACCAAUUAGUCAGUGUUGUCCAAUGUUUGAUACACAGAUUUGACAGCAUUCUGCAGUGGAAACCCUUCCUAAAGUUCUCAUACGAUGCCCGUUGGGCUUGUUGUGCACCAGACUGUUGUCAGUAUUUGCCUGCUUGUUAGGAUGCAGCCAGUUGACUCUGGCUGUCUGAGCAGUGAUAUGACUGGGAGCAGUGGGGCUGGGCCCCAGCCGACUCCACUCUCCUCCUCGCCCAUAAUAGAUCUGCGUGGUCUGCAGGCUCUCUGGGGGCACCUGGCUCCCCUCCCUGCCAUCUCUGGCCGGAUCGAUCGGUGAGGCCGUCCCAGCGCAGAGACCAGGGGUCAUCUUCAAACGCCUCCUGCCCACUUCCUGCCACCUGGUGCUCCAUUUCGGACAAAGGGUACAUUUCCUUUCCACUGCCUCCACCCCUCCGUUGCCCUUCUGCAAACAGGUUAAGGACAUGGAGCCGGUACAGCUCCUCCCUGUGAUCUCCUUCAGCCUCCUCCCUAGUCGCCCACACGGGGAGAGAGGUGAGAGAUCAGUCCCACCAAAACACCACACAAUCACACACCCUAUUGAUGUGUGAUUUGAUUUAAUUAUGGCUUAAGAAUGUGUUUUUCUCUAGACGGAAGUGAUUUUCGGUUACCUUUACCUUUGGUUAUAUUCUCAUUUUAAUACACUGGCAGGUGUCUAAUAUAUAAUGCAUCCAUAAAAUGUCAGUGACAGAAUAACCACAUCAACACACAGCAUUAUUCAUUUACAGGAUAUAUUUUAAUUAGGCAAUUUUCAUUUCACGACACAGUAUGCUAAAAAAAAAGUUAUUUAGGUAAUGGUUUAUAAUGAUGCAUUAAAUUAAGUGAACUUUUUGGCUUUCACUUGAAACAUGUUUCAUUAUUAACUGAUCAACAGAUCUGCUAUGGUAAGAAUAUCUCCAUCUCCCUUUCCCUGUUGGUCAAGUAACAAAUGGCAGGGCUAUCGAACACACAUUUUAUCUCCAUGAGGGCUGUCGGACAAUUAGCUCCAAGAAUACAUAUUAAUCAAUCGAGAUUUUUGAAUCUGUUUAUUAAGCCCAGCCAUUUUUUUCCCUCCAAUACAUUAGCAGAUCUCAGUAUGUCCGCUACUCUUGUGAACAGGGAUGAGAAGGAGAUAGAGGGAGAGGAAAUAAAGGUCUGAUGAGUUUGGCAAAGAGAGGAUGGAGGCUGAGACAGAUGGCAUGAAGUCUGCAGCACUCUGGCGUGGCUCGCCUGGUGCUAAAAUCCUUCUCUCUCACAUUCCAACAAAUCCUACCAGGAGGCUGGGGAGUCUGUCACACCACUCCAAGGAUCCACACGGCUCUCUUCAACCCCCCUCUCCUCCUCCUCCUCCUCCUCCUCCUCCUCCUCCUCCUCCUCCGUCGCCCCGGCCCAACCGAGCCCCUGACCACUCUCAUAUUAUAUCCUCACAUAUGUAUACAUUCACACAUUAACAUGUAUAGAGGUCGACCAUUACAGGCCUGGCGCGAUAAGAAGCACCGGGGGGUGCAGCUAUGACGAAACGCUGUCUAACUGCUCUUAUGGAAAAGGAACCAGGGGGGCUUAAUUGAGAGAGGUGGCCUUUACUGUCACUCCAGUGUAUGAAAUCUUAUUCAGUAAACACUGAGCCAAAUCAUCAGGGACUGUACAAUCCAUUUAUAUCAGAGGAAGAAGACAUAAGAAGCUUUUUGAUUAGUUUCACCACAGCCUGCAUCAGCCCAGUCUCCAGCAGAAACACUGCAGCCCAAUCUCAAUCCAAACAUGCGCUGCUCAGACCCAUAUUUCAAGGCUCCCUGUGGGCCUUACAACCCAAAAUGGACAGUAAGUGUAACUGUGAUUACACACAUAGCACAAGACCAACAACUGGAUCAGGGGCUCAGCGUGACAUCUCCCUCUCCAAAUACUGUACUAUUGGAUAUUCUUUAAAUGUGUGAAGCAUGCUCCUCUUUUACCAUCUCAAAGUGGUUCAUCUAAUAAGAACAAUCUAAUUUAUUUUACACUGUGCUCUCUCCCCGUGUCUCUUUCUCGCUGUCUUUCUGCCUGCCUUCUGUUUGUUCUAAUGAAUGACUUCUGAGAUGAGUUGCUGCUGUGAGGAGGUCACGGGGGGGCUUCAGAAUCACAUUACUGUUAAUGAUAAUAAAAAGAACAAUCUGUGCUAAA